UACGGGGGGGGGCAAGCGUUGUUCGGAAUUACUGGGCGUAAAGGGCUCGUAGGUGGCCAACUAAGUCAGACGUGAAAUCCCUCGGCUUAACCGGGGAACUGCGUCGGAUACUGGAUGGCUUGAAUUCGGGAGAGGGAUGCAGAAUUCCAGGUGUAGCGGUGAAAUGUGUAGAUAUCUGGAGGAAUACCGGUGGCGAAGGCGGCAUCCUGGACCGACAUUGACGCUGAUGAGCGAAAGCUAGGGGAGCAAACGGG
rnacentral:rRNA from 1 species